UACGCGGGUUAUAAGCUAGUUAUAUAAUACAUACAACACAGAUAAGUAGAUAACCUGGAAUCUUAAGUUCAAAUCACCUCCUGGCUGACACGAUUACACGAAGCGGCGCGACACUCCUCUCAGGCUCUCACCGGGCUCUCCGAUUAUCAAACACGAAUCACCUCCUCAUCUUCUAAUCUUUAUCUCCAGCAUCAGCAACACGAUUACACGAGUCGUCAUCUUCAAUUCCAGGUCGAGAAUCAUAGUGUUUUACUUGCUGAUUGUUAUUAAUUUAUUAAUCUGAGUUCAAACAAGAAAAGAUGCAGCCUGCAGGAAUCAGUCAUUCUGAAUUUGUUUUGAUGUAAACAAUGCUGUGUUUACUUGGAUGGAAUGGAACGAGGGGAGAAUGGAAUGAAAAACUAUAUAGAAUUUUUAUGGAGAAAGAAGAAAGUAUGAGUUAAUAGUGACUAAAUAUGAAUGAGUUCAAUUUAUUUGUGUUAAAGAUUGUAAAGAAAUAUGAUGUAGAGAUGGAAUGAGCAUUCCUUCCAAAACAUGUGGGAUAGAAUUCUAGUUAAAAUAAUAUGAAUGGAAUGAUUGAAGGAAUGAAAAUUGUAUACAUUUUUUUUUAUCAACACUCUUUUUAAGUACAAAAUUCAUUCCAUUCUCCCUCCAUUCUAUUCACUCCAAGUGAACACAACCUAAGUUUCCAGACUUUAAUUUGCUGUUUUAAGUUGUGUAGGGAAGUUUGGUUGAAUGACAUUUUUAAUUAUUAAUUGUAAUGUACAAGGAAAUAAGCAGGUUGUUUAAAAAUUUCGGUUUUUUGAAACCAAAACCGAAUCGAAAUAAUUCGGUCGGUUCGGUCCAGAUUACUAAUUCGGUUCGGUUCGGUUCGAUUUAAAAAAAAGAGGCUAAUUUGGUUUUCGAUU